rnacentral:rRNA from 1 species
GACGUAGGGCGCGAGCGUUGUCCGGAUUUAUUGGGCGUAAAGAGCUCGUAGGCGGCUUGUCGCGUCGACUGUGAAAACCCGCGGCUCAACUGCGGGCCUGCAGCCGAUACGGGCAGGCUAGAGUUCGGUAGGGGAGACUGGAAUUCCUGGUGUAGCGGUGAAAUGCGCAGAUAUCAGGAAGAACACCAAUGGCGAAGGCAGCUCUCUGGGACGGUACUGACGCUGAGACGCGAAAGCGUGGGGAGCGAACAGG